rnacentral:lncRNA from 1 species
CAAAGGCAAAGCAAUCUGUUCUGCUGAGAACAAGUUGCUUGUUUAGACAUGACUAAAACGUUGGAUGUAGUUAUCUGGAGAAAGUCGUAUGCACCCACAACCUCUGUUAAUUAGACUGAGGAGCUCCUGUCUGCAAGGAGGACAACGAGCCGCUUUGAUAGCAGGAAAACGGGAAAUGAAGUGGGAGGUUGGAUGACUGAAUUGGAACCCUGCCAGAGGCUGCACAGCCGCAUCAGGCCGGCAGCAAGCCCAGCGGCCCAAGCAGAGCAUUUUUACGAAUGAGAGAAGACCCCCACUCCUUCAGACACUUUGCUGCCAUCUGCCAGGAAAUAGCCAUCAGCUCCAAAAGUAGGUGGUUCCCCCAGGACUGCACAGCACAGCCAGCAGACGGCAGCAGGACAGCCCUGACACAUGUAGGAGUCCAGGGCCACCUAAGCUACUGUCAGGUCAGCACUCACGAGGAGGCUGAGCGGAGCAGACGCGAUGCUCCGCCCACCUCUCUCCUCAGCGGUGCAGAAGAGGAAGCGUGAUCCUCUGACCAUCCCAGGAGGGAUCUUGUGCUCACAGAAGGGCAAAGGGAUCUUGACAAGAAAGCAGAAGGUAGCAGCCCGAUUCUUCAGUUUUCAGAGGGUGAAGACAGACAGAAAUGGGGCUGCGGAGCUGUGGACAGUCCGAAGUGUGAAGGAAAGAGUUUCCAUUCCUCUACUCACUUCCAGGUGCCCUUGGGAGCCAUAUCAUGGAAACCCCAGGGAGCUUUCCUUGAACUUGGAGCUGGUUUAGCACCAGGUACAAAUGUUUCAGUUUUCAGCAAGGGGACAGGAGAAUCCAUUUCCUUUCAAACUAUUUGACCCGUUAGAGUCGGACAUCAUGUCAUGGUUUCUUUGCACACUCACGAGUCCUGCGCGCUAGGUAAGCCAGGUUUUUCUGCUAACUGACUGUAUCUAAUGCCAGUGAUAAAAAGCUGGGG